AGCUCCAAUAGCGUAUAUUAAAGUUGUUGCAGUUAAAAAGCUCGUAGUUGGAUUUGUGGUGUGUCCAGUCGGCCUUUGCUCUUUGAGUGAUUGUGCUGUACUGGUCUGCCAUGUUUGGGUGGAAUCUGUGUGGCAUUAGGUUGUCGUGCAGGGGAUGCCCAUCGUUUACUGUGAAAAAAUUAGAGUGUUCAAAGCAGGCUUAUGCCGUUGAAUAUAUUAGCAUGGAAUAAUGAUAUAGGACCUUGGUACUAUUUUGUUGGUUUGCGCACUAAGGUAAUGAUUAAGAGGGACAGUUGGGGGUAUUUGUAUUCCAUUGUCAGAGGUGAAAUUCUUGGAUUUUUGGAAGACAAACUACUGCGAAAGCAUUUACCAAGGAUGUUUUCAUUA
rnacentral:rRNA from 1 species